rnacentral:rRNA from 1 species
AACGAACGCUGGCGGUAUGCUUAACACAUGCAAGUCGAACGAACAAAAUUGGGGCUUGCUCCAAUUUUAGUGGGUGGCAAACGGGUGAGUAACACGUGGGAAUCUACCUAUCAGUACGGAAUAACAUUUGGAAACAGAUGCUAAUACCGUAUAUUCUCCAAGGAGGAAAGAUUUAUCGCUGAUAGAUGAGUCCGCGCAAGAUAAGGUAGUUGGUAGGGUAAUGGCCUACCAAGCCUACGAUCUUUAGCUGGUCUGAGAGGAUGAUCAGCCACACUGGGACUGAGACACGGCCCAGACUCCUACGGGAGGCAGCAGUGGGGAAUAUUGGACAAUGGGCGAAAGCCUGAUCCAGCAAUACCGCGUGAAUGAUGAAGGCCUUAGGGUUGUAAAGUUCUUUUAGUUGGAAAGAUAAUGACGGUACCAACAGAAAAAGCCCCGGCUAACUCCGUGCCAGCCGCCGCCGUAA